rnacentral:lncRNA from 1 species
UCACUUUUGCCUUGCAAGUACACUGAUAGAGUUAUUAUUCUCUCUAUUUUACAGACAAAGAAACAGAGCUGGAAAGAAGUUGACUGGUCCAAGGUCACAUGACUGAUAAAGGACAGGGCCAGAAUCAGACCCAGGCAGGUUGGCUCCAAAGCUCUUUGUUGUUGCUCAGUACCAGAAGGUGAAGUCCAGGCGUCCAGGCGUGCCCAUCAGUGGGAGCUGUGGGAUUCACUCUUCACACCUGCAGAUGGAGUUGGGAAACAGGAAGCAAGGACAAGGGUCACAAGCAGUGCAGCCACCACGACUAGGGAGUGAGUCUAUCCAGUGCACAAGAGUCAUUGGAAUGGUCAGUUUGUUGGCGCUCACUUGACCUUCAGUGGACAGUGGUGAAAGCGAAUGCUUUUGUGAGCAGCCCAAGUCUGACUGGGGCCAGAGAACUCACAGCCGCCUGCACUCCCUCAGUCCCUGAGUCCGCAGUUCACAGCCAGCCCAGCAGAUUAAAAAAUCAAGACUCCAGGAUGUGAAGUGACUUAGCCAGGUUCACUAGCUGAAGAUUCAGGGAAAGAGUAUGGAUUUUCCCAAUGGAGUGAAAUGAGCUCCAAAGUGUGAGUCAUCAGCUGACCUGUGCG